GGAGAAAGCUUACUGCCAAUGUUCACAGAUAUUUAUGGUAAGUUAUAUAUAACCUAAACUAUAAUAACUACUAACCAUAUUUAAGUUUAUUUGGAAACUUCAAAAUGUUCAAAAAACGAUAUAAUGUAUUUACUUGUGAAUUGAAAGUUGGUACUACCCAAAGCGAAAAAUUAAUAAAUGUCAAAGGGUGCAAAGGGGCCAUUUCUCCCCCAAUUUUACAAUAUUUUUAGGAGCACCUCUUGAAGUCUUGAUGCAUAAGAUAAUAAUGCAUAAGGAUUUAGGAUAACUCAUUCGAACCUAUGAUUUAUAAAAUCUUCAUCUUUAUAAGUAUCAAUAAUACAAUUUUAUUUCGUUUCUAUGGACUCGUUUGUUGUAAUUAUAUUUAAAUAGGCUGCGUUUUCAGACUUCAGUUAUUCUAAAUGAUAAUAAUUUAUUAUGAUUAAAUAUUAUUGAGUAUUGUUAUUGUGAUGUACUGACGAAUGCGAAGAAAGAAGAAUAAAAAACAAAAUAGCUAAUACUUAGGACAGAUGCAGCCUCUGUUAUAUGUUGGAAGUUGGGAAGGUAGGAUCAGUAUACAUAAUACACAGUUACUUAAUUUAUAAAUGUAUGCAAUAUUUUAUCGAUUUAUUAAAUAUUAAAAUAUAUAUGUAAUUUUAAGAUCCCAUUACUAAAGAAAAAUUUGAUGAAUUAAGAGAAGGUAUAUUAAUUUAAACACAUAAUAACUAUAUCAUAUUUUUUUAUAAGCCUUACGUUAUAGAACAAAACAUUCGCUAUAUGCAAAAAAAAAAAAAAAUAGUUAAUAGACCUAAUUUUAUUAAUUAUUCAGGAAAAACAAUCAUAGGCGAACAUUAUUCAACAUACAUAAUAAGAAUAUUUUUAAACGGUAAUUUUUAAUUUCUAAUACAUAUAAUAUAGUUAAGCAAACAUAUUCCUCAACAGAAACCUAACUGUGAAAAAAGGCCAAGUCACAAACCACCUCUGAAAAAAGUCAAUCUAUUGGUAGUGAUAAUUGCAUUGUCGCCAAGUCUGCUUUUUCAUUAGUUCAUAAGCUCACUUCACUUCUACUUUUAUAAUAGCAUUAGCACCGUUACUCCUUUAAUUUUAUUGCUUUACAAUUUACCGGUUUCUGAGUCAUGUAUAUUUAUCCUUAAAAAAAAAAAAUUAAUAUCGACUAAUAUAAAUAAGUAGGUAGAUAAAUAAUUUUUCUAUUAUAACAAAUUCAGGAUAUGUACCAUUGCACAAGAAUUUAUGGAUUCAAGAAUACAAUGAAUUAUAUCCAGGACAGCAAAUUCCAUAGUAAUUAUUAUUUGUUUUAAUAUUAGUUAUUUAGGUAUAUCGAAACAAAAUGAUUGAAUUAAUUAAUAAUGAUUUUAAUUAACACUCAGCUGAUGAAGCUAUUCCAGAAUGGUAAUAAAUAGUAUCUAGUUUAAAUUAUAAGUUACAUUCUUAUUUAAAUUACAAUAAUAAAAUAUUAUAUGGCGCACACAGAACACUUAAUAAUUCCUAGUCAUUUUAUUAUUAUAUACUUCAAAAUUUUAACUUAAUUUAUAAUUUAUUUAUACCUAUAUAAUUAUUGAAAACAAAGAAUAUUAAGUACUUAACGUAUUAUAUUGUAUUUAAAAAAUGAUAUGUAAGGAAUAACAAUAAUUACAUAGUUAACAGAUUAAAAUGAAGUAAUAAAGAAAGAAUUAAACUUACACACUCCUUUAAUAUUGUGUGUACGAAUAUUUUAUAUUUCAAAAUUUUAAAUGAAGAAGUUACAAAAACCAGCACCAGAAGAUGGCCGAUUUCAAAUUGUUGAUUUGAAGACGAAAGAGAAGAUGAAGAAUAACUAUAACAACAUGUCUUGUAGUUAAAAAUUAACAGAAUUUAUUAUAAUUUAUACUAAAUAAUAAUGCAAAAGCAUGAAUAAAUUGGUAGAAAUUUAAUAUUAACGUAAAUUCUUUGUAAACUAUGAAGGUUUUUCAAAUUAAAACAAAAUCAGUUUGUUGAUAACGC
rnacentral:lncRNA from 1 species